UGCGCAGGCGGUUUUGUAAGACAGAGGUGAAAUCCCCGGGCUCAACCUGGGAACUGCCUUUGUGACUGCAAGGCUGGAGUGCGGCAGAGGGGGAUGGAAUUCCGCGUGUAGCAGUGAAAUGCGUAGAUAUGCGGAGGAACACCGAUGGCGAAGGCAAUCCCCUGGGCCUGCACUGACGCUCAUGCACGAAAGCUGGGAGCAAACA
rnacentral:rRNA from 1 species